rnacentral:rRNA from 1 species
CGCGGGGGUAUUUGGACAUGGGCGAAGCCUGAUCCAGCCAUGCCGCGUGUGUGAAGAAGGCCUUCGGAUUGUAAACCUCUUUUUUUUGGGAGGAAGGGGACUUGCCUAAUACGUGAUUGUCUUGACGUUUCCGUGCCAAUACCCCCCCGCUUCAUCUCUGCCCGCCGCCGCGGUA